CGUAGUGAAGGUAGAAAUGGAAGGCCAACCUUAGUUCUAAAACUAAACAGCAACAGAUCUUUCAUCUAUGAUGGUCAGCAAACUUAAAUCAUGCUCAAUUUCAACAUCUUCAACAACAACAACAAUGUAUAAGCAUAAUGAUAUCUCCUCUCAAGUUUGUGAAACACUUCUUGAAAUCAAUCUCACCACAUCUCAUAUGGGAAUCACAUCUGUAUUCUGUGCCCUAGUAUAAUUGACGUACGGUGCCCAUCCUCUGGUUUGUUGCUUGUGAGAGAUCUGCUGUUCUGUUGAUAUAAUUGGGGGUUUUCAAUAAGAUUGAAGAAAGUGUAAAAAAGGUGGUUUUAAUUGUUGUUGUUGGAACUUAAGAGCCGAAGACAGAGACGAUUUAUAUUAAGGGUUGGAUAAUGAUUGUAGAUUUGAUUUAAGAGUUUCUAGAUCUGCUUUUGUUGAUGUUUCUCAAAAUCAUGUCACAGAUAGUCCUUGUACCACCACUAGUGGAGUUGGUUUUUGAGCAUAAGUUGUAUUUGACGGGCCACACAUAAGUUGUAUUUGCAAACUUGUGAUGCUGCAUUAAAAUGAUUUCUCCUCUCAAAACAGCAAAAUUAGUCUUCAAGUACCAGGGAUCCAUAUGGUGUUUAAUGGUUUACAAUUUCGAAAACUCUAGGUAAAUAUUAUUAUGAUUUUCAUUAUUGGGUUGUCUGUUCAACUGUGUAUGCUGUAGUAUUGUUAAUAUAAUGAGGAGAUCUAUAUUUUGUAUUAGUCUAAUCUUAUUAAUCAUUUUAUGUUGUCUUUAA